rfam:Glycine soja cultivar W05 scaffold2720_23, whole genome shotgun sequence.
GAUUUAUUAGUUAAGUUGGUUAAAAUGUUGCAUUAAUAAUGCAAAAGUUACAAGUUUAAUUCCUGCUUGAAUCA